ACUGGUCCCUGGGUGGUUGCAGUGGUAGAGUGCGAGCUUGCUGACCGAAAAGUGGAAUCCGGUCCCCUGUGUUCGUGGAGUCUCAGCCGCCGAGGAUCUCAGGGCUGGUUCCCGUCCCUUCGGAGCCCCGGAGGCCAAACUGGGAUUACAAGUUUAAGGUUUCCUAGAGGGCGAAAGAUAAGGAGCCGACCUCCCCCCCCCCCCCCCCCACCUCCCUGCGGUGUCUGCUGCGGGAGCGGCCAACCCCUACCCGAGUUAAAACUCCCGGGGAGUCUUCGCUGCUCCCACCUCCGCUUCUCCCGCCACGCUCCCACUUGGGGUUCCCCCCACCAGGGCCGCGAGUCGCCGCGGUGGCCGCAGCUUGGCUGCGGGCUGGAUGUGCGCCCCCGCGGAUUCCCGGGAAUCUGGAAGCGGCCGCUGAGCCGCGGCGCGGGCGGAAAGUUUGUAUUCGCCCCGUGCAGCCUCACCCCGCAGGGGCGUCCACCAUGAUCACCCGUGUCUUCAGCGUGCGCGUGUGGGCCCCGGUGGGCGUCUUGACUUCGCUGGCGUAUUGCGUCCACCAGCGGCGGGUGGCCCGGGCCGAGACCCCGGGGGCGCCUAGCCAGCGUCCCGUCGACCGGAGUCUGCUGGAAUUGAAAAUGGUGCAGGUCGUGUUCCGACACGGGGCGCGGAGUCCUCUCAAGCCGCUCCCGCGGGAGCAGGCAGAGUGGAAUCUCCAGCUAUUAGAGGCCCCGCCCCAAACUCAGUUUGAUUACACUGUCACCAAUCUAGCUGGUGGCCUGAAACCACAUUCUCCUUUUGACUCUCAGUACCGUAAGACCGUACUCAAGGGAGGCAUGUUUUCUGGACAGCUGACUAAUGUGGGCAUGCAGCAGAUGUUUGCCCUAGGACAGAGGCUGAGGAAGAGCUAUGUGGAGGACAUCCCCUUUCUUUCACCAACCUUCAAUCCACUGGAAGUCUUUGUUCGUUCCACUAAUAUAUAUCGGAAUCUGGAGUCUACCCGAUGUUUGCUGGCUGGGCUUUUCCAAAGUCAGAAAGAAGGACCCGUCGUCAUCCACACUGAUGAAGCAAGCUCUGAAGUCUUGUACCCCAACUACCAGAACUGUUGGAGCCUGCAGGAGAGAACGAGAGGCCGGAGGCAGGCUGCCUGUUUGCAGCCAGGAAUCUCCGAGGAUUUGCAAAAGGUGAAGGAAGGGAUGGGCAUUGCCAGUAAUGACGGAGUAGACUUCCUCAGCCUCCUUGACAAUGUGGCUGCUGAGCAGGUGCACAGCCUCCUGAGCUGCCCCACACUGAGGAGAUUUGCACAGAUGAUCGAGCAGAGAGCUGUGGACACGGCCUUGUACGUUAUGCAGAGGGAAGACAGGUUACUCUCUCCUCCGCCGUCUGAUUGGGCUCAUGAGGUCCUGGUGGCAGACCCGCCCGCAGCCCCGUGUGCCGGCAGCUUCAGUGUUGUUUACUUGCCGCAGGGAGAGCCUUCAGAUGGCAGUUGGCCCAUUCCUCCACAUCCUGGAGAGCAACCUGCGGAAAGUCACGGACCCUGCCACCGCACCAGGCGAGACCAGAAAGCUGUACCUCUAUGCGGCUCACGAUGUGACCCUCAUGCCUCUCUUAAUCAUCCUGGGGAUUUUUGACCACAAAUGGCCCCCGUUUGCUGUUGAUCUAACCAUGGAACUCUACCAGCACCGGGAAUCUAAGGAGUGGUUUGUGCAGCUCUAUUACCGUGGGGAGGAGCAGGUGCCAAAAGGAUGCCCUGACCAGCUCUGUCCACUGGACAAGUUCUUAAACACCCUGUCAGCUUACACCUUGAGCCCAGAAAAAUACCACACACUCUGCUCUCAAGCACAUGUGAUUGAACUUGGAGAUGGAGAGUGACCGAUGUAUACAAACAGGAUGCGUUGGUUUUUCAAUAAAAUGCCUUAACACACUG